rnacentral:rRNA from 1 species
UACGUAGGGGGCAAGCGUUGUCCGGAUUUAUUGGGCGUAAAGAGCGUGUAGGCGGCUAGGUAGGUCCGUUGUGAAAACUCGAGGCUCAACCUCGAGACGUUGAUGGAAACCAUCUAGCUAGAGUCCGGAAGAGGAGAGUGGAAUUCCUGGUGUAGCGGUGAAAUGCGCAGAUAUCAGGAAGAACACCCGUGGCGAAGGCGGCUCUCUGGUACGUGACUGACGCUGAGACGCGAAAGCGUGGGGAGCGAACAGG